GCGGAGGAAAAGAAACCAACAGGGAUUGCCCCAGUAACGGCGAGUGAAGCGGCAACAGCUCAAAUUUGAAAUCUGGUCCCCCCGCGGGGCCCGAGUUGUAAUUUGAAGAGGAUGCUUCUGGCAAGGUGCCGUCCGAGUUCCCUGGAACGGGACGCCGCAGAGGGUGAGAGCCCCGUACGGUCGGACGCCGAGCCUCUGUGAAGCUCCUUCGACGAGUCGAGUAGUUUGGGAAUGCUGCUCAAAAUGGGAGGUAAACCCCUUCUAAAGCUAAAUACCGGCCAGAGACCGAUAGCGCACAAGUAGAGUGAUCGAAAGAUGAAAAGCACUUUGAAAAGAGAGUUAAAAAGCACGUGAAAUUGUUGAAAGGGAAGCGCUUGCGACCAGACUCGCGCCCGUCGGAUCAGCCGUCGCUCGUCGGCGGCGCACUCCGGCGGGCUCGGGCCAGCAUCAGUUCGCCUCGGGGGGAGAAAGGCGGCGGGAAUGUGGCUCCACGGAGUGUUAUAGCCCACCGCGUAAUACCCCCGGGCGGACUGAGGACCGCGCGUAG
rnacentral:sRNA from 1 species